CGACCCGAAGUAGUUAUAAAGUUUGUAAUAAAAUGUAAAUCAAUGUAUUAUAAUAAUAAAGCAUCUGCCUUCUAAGCAGACGGUCGAAGGUUCGAAUGCUUCCAAGGUCAC
rnacentral:tRNA from 1 species